GACGAACCGUGCGAACGUUGUUCGGAAUCACUGGGCUUAAAGGGCGCGUAGGCGGCUUGGCAAGUCAGGGGUGAAAUCUUUCAGCUUAACUGGAAAAUAGCCUCCGAUACUGGGUGGCUGGAGGGAGAUAGGGGUGCGCGGAACUUCCGGUGGAGCGGUGAAAUGCGUAGAUAUCGGAAGGAACGCCGGAGGCGAAGGCGGCUUGCUGGGCUUGGUCUGACGCUGAGGCGCGAAAGCGUGGGAGCGAACAGG
rnacentral:rRNA from 1 species